AUCUAGUUCCUUCUUAACUUCCAGUUCUUCUCUACCUCUUAAUCCUGUUCGUCGUCUUUUCAUGUAGUUAGCAGAAGAAGGGUUUUUUAAUAUGAUCUACCACUUUCCUCUUAUUCUUUCUUUACGCAAUUUGUGGUGAUGAAGAGCAGGCAAGUGAUUGGAAUUGCAACCGCAUCUCUCCUGGCGCUGACUUCUGGCUUGAUUUGGGAUUCUCAAGCGAUCAUCGGCGGCUACAAGUCUGAAUAGCCCUUGUUGAUGCUCGUUUUGGUUGGUGAUUGAUGGGUUGAGAUAUGACUGAUGACGAGUCAUGAAGAUGCUUUAUAUUUGAGUGAGUAUUGGUUGUAUUGAGUGGUUGAUGAUUAUUUGGAGGAAUGGAAGAAGUUUCCUUGGAUAUUAUAAUGUUUGGGGAGUCAUCAAUGUGAGAUGGAUUUCCAUAAUUGGGAAGAGGAAGUGGUGUUAUGUUAUGAGUAGUUUGGCCCUUGUAAUAAGGGAAUAUGUUUUCGUAAAAGGUGACAUCUCGUGAUAUAAUGAACGAGUUGUUUGUAAGGGAGUAAAGAAU
rnacentral:lncRNA from 1 species